rnacentral:rRNA from 1 species
UGAACGCUGGCGGUAUGCCUUACACAUGCAAGUCGUACGAGAGUUUUUAACUCUAGUGGCGGACGGGUGAGUAACACGUAAGAAUUUGCCUUUAGGAGGGGGACAACAGCUGGAAACGGCUGCUAAUACCCCAUAUGCUUUCGAGUGAAACGGAUUUCCGCCUAAAGAGAAGCUUGCGGCUGAUUAGCUUGUUGGUGAGGUAAUGGCUCACCAAGGCGACGAUCAGUAUCUGGUUUGAGAGGAUGAUCAGACACACUGGAACUGAGACACGGUCCAGACUCCUACGGGAGGCAGCAGUGGGGAAUUUUCCGCAAUGGGCGAAAGCCUGACGGAGCAAUACCGCGUGAGGGAUGACGGCCUAUGGGUUGUAAACCUCUUUUUUCAGGGAGGAAUCAAUGACGUGUACCUGAAGAAUAAGCAUCGGCUAACUCC